CCUGGGCUACUAGAGUGAGACUCCAUCUCAAAAAAAAAAACAAACCUUUGGCUCUGGGUUUCCCCUGAGCUGCAAACUCCAGCCAGAGUGUGCAGCGUGCUAAGCAUGAAGGCUUCUGUAGAGUGAGUGGGAACCUGUGUAUUCCCCGGGGAGUGUUCGGCCCUCCUCCCUUUGCUGCCUCCAGUUUCACUUAACACGCCAACCUCAGAUGGCCUCACCUACUGCUAUUCCAUCGACCUCUCAGAGCGAGUGGCGCUGAAGCUCGAUCAGACCUUCCCCUUCAGCCUGAUGAGGAGGAUAUCCGUGUUCAAGUACGUCUCAGGGUCUUCAGCCGAGAGGAGGGCAGCCCAGAGCCGGAAACUGAACCCGGUGCCUGGCUCCUACCCCACACAGAGCUGCCACCCUCACCUGUCCCCAAGCCACCCUGUGUCCCAGACACAGCAUGCCAGUGGUCAGAAGCUGGCCUCCUGGCCCUCCUGCACCCCCGGGCACAUGCCCACCUUGCCUCCGUACCAGCCUGCCUCUGGCCUGUGCUAUGUGCAGAACCACUUUGGUCCAAACCCCACCUCCUCCAGUGUCUACCCAGCUUCUGCGGGCACCUCCCUGGGCAUCCAGCCCCCCACGCCUGUGAACAGC
rnacentral:sRNA from 1 species